CGAUAGCAACUUCGUCCAAUUUCCGGGGACUUAAGUGAUUACGUGGAUGACGGAAAAUCCGAUGUGGACUCGCUGACGCUUAAAUGAAACACAGUCGUUUCGUUAAUUGUGAUACGUCGUUGUUUUGAACAAAAACAACUUCUCUUCUCCUUCGGUCGGAAAGCAGCCUAAUGGCCACUACUGGUGCUGCUCUUCCCUUUCUCCAGAUCUGGCGAUGCUAUCGUCGUCUCUUCGCUGGCCGCCGUGGCGCAGUAGCGCCCGACGGCGUUAUCAGACGACUCCGCCCCGCCGUCUCUCCAACUGUCCAGAAGCCAUUUCCCCAAACGAGGACUCACAGACCAAUUCUUCUUUAAGCCAAAGAAUGAGGGAAGAAAGAACAGUUCAAAAUAAAAACAAUCACAUAGAUUUGAUUAAAAAUUUCAGAAACACAGAACACCCAAAUCAAAAAUCUCUUUACAUCUGUGAAAUUCUUUAUGUUACCUUCGGUGAGUGUGAGGGUCGAGAAAAUAAUUAGGGGAGGGGAAGGCUAUCGGAGCUUCGACUCGGGCUGAUGAGGCCGCGGUUGUCGGCGCUCUAUGUGUGCCCGCAGCCGCUGACUACUCACGGUUAAGGCAGAUGGAGUCGGAGCAAGGUGGCGCAGACAAAGGUGACCGGAGGCAGAAUGACGCGACCCAAGGCUGUGGUGAUUGAUUGGGGAUCUAGGGCUCAACGGCGGCUCUGUCAUCGUUUCAUCUGGAGCAGGGAAGAGAUGAUAUACAGAGAGAGAGAUAGAGAAGGAAGGUCAGGGGGAGAUUCGGCAGCAGUUGGCGGCCGGUGUCCGGCGUCCGCUACUGCCGCCAGAUGAGAAGGGAGAGAAAAU
rnacentral:lncRNA from 1 species